GCAAUCACGUGAAGAAGUAAACUCACACAUCAUUUUCCUUUAUCUUCAUUGUUUUUACUUUUCUCUUUCAGUUUUGCUUUUCUUCCUCAUAGAAACCAAAAGACACUUCCAGACAAGACUUUGUUCUCAAAAACAGUUGUUUUUUUAGAAGACAAAGAAACUAAGAAGAUGGAACCACCUGCAACACAAUCCAUAGAGACUUCCACCAAGAGUUUCCAGGUUGAAGAAGAUGAAUAAGACAAAGUUGUUGAUGAAUGGUUUGUUUUAUUAUUAUAAUGUUGUUUUACAAUCUGAUUAUACUUGUUUGAUUCUCUUUUUUCUGCUAUUUUUCUGGGUUUUUUUUUUUUUUUGCAGUUGUUCUUGCUGCUACGACUGCACUGGGAGCAUAUUUGAUUACUUAUGUUGCUGCGAUCUUUGUUAGAAUAUAAAUAUAUAUAAAUUAGAAAGUAUGGGAUAAUCAAAGGAUCUAAGUUGAUGUUUCAAAAGAGUAGCAGGAAUCUAUAAAACUUCUAUUUGAUUGUUUUGUUUCUUCACUGCGUUUAAAAAAGUAAAUUCAAUUGUUUUAUAAAUUAUUUUAUUUUGGCUGAAUUUAAUUAUGCUCCAAAUCGGUGAUGGGGAUGAUUCCGGAAUCUUCGAGUACUAAACUAUUCGAUAGUAACACAACUGAGUACUUACAACGG
rnacentral:lncRNA from 1 species